GACCGCACCCACCAUGCGGGAUAAAUAGCGAAUGAACUAUUGUACCAGGUUCCUGUCCUCUGCGCGAUCCAGCCCUGGUUGGUGACUCGUCAGACAGAAACCCAGAGACUCUUGGUGCAGAUCUCCAGGUGGAAGGUGAAGAUGGAGUGGGAGUGGGAGGAGUCUUUGUUCAUCAGUGUGUGGUCCACAGACCAGUUCCUCCAGCCGAGCUCUACGAUUCUUUCACACUGCGUCACACUGUGCACAGUGUCAGCUGUGAUUUAAGGAGAUGAACCUCCAACCUCUGUUUGGUGUUGCUCCCCAAAGAUCUCGGAUUUCCUUGUUGUAAAUCUCCAGGGGCGUGAGCCGUCGGAUGGAGCUUCAGGGGGGCAGAGUGUGGAGCAGAGUGUGUGGGCUGAUGGCUGGGGCCCCGGAUGUCAGCUAGAGGUUCCAGGGCCCCCAGUGUGGACCAGAGUGUCUGGGGCCCGAGCGACAGGCUGGAGAACCAGGGCC